UUGCGUCCGUUCACUGAUAGCUCCACCUUAUCUCCUCAGUCCUCACGCGUGCAUUUCCUCAGUCCUUAUCUCUUCCUUUCUGUCCCUCCCCCACUCCUGCUUCACCGCUGCUGCUCCUCCUCUUCGCUGCUGCUCCUCCGGCCAAACAGGUUCUUGAACCCGUGCACCAGCCUUGACUUGAAGCUCCGGCUUGCUGCUGCUGCGCAGGUGGGUGCGGAGGCCGGCGAGCUCGAGCUUGCUGUUGCUCCGGCUUGCUGCUGCUGCUCAGAGCGAUGCAGGUGGGUGUGGAGGCUGGAGAGCUCGCGCUUGCUGCUGCUCUAGCUGCUCGAAGGGUCUUGAUGCGAGAAGAGAUGUGCAAAGGAUUUUUUUUUCCAUUUCAGAAUUGAAUGGAGUGUUGCGUUCCAUUCUGGUCACAAUGAUCUGUCCAUCCAUGAAGGUCAUUGAUACUCGUUUUUGUAUUGAAUCUGAUUGUGAGAUUUGUUGUACGGAUGAGAUAAGUCGAUUCUUGUUUUGUUGUAUUGAA